rnacentral:rRNA from 1 species
CCUACGGGAGGCAGCAGUAGGGAAUCUUCCACAAUGGACGAAAGUCUGAUGGAGCAACGCCGCGUGAGUGAAGAAGGAUUUCGGUUCGUAAAACUCUGUUGCAAGGGAAGAACAAGUAGCGUAGUAACUGGCGCUACCUUGACGGUACCUUGUUAGAAAGCCACGGCUAACUACGUGCCAGCAGCCGCGGUAAUACGUAGGUGGCAAGCGUUGUCCGGAAUUAUUGGGCGUAAAGCGCGCGCAGGUGGUUCCUUAAGUCUGAUGUGAAAGCCCCCGGCUCAACCGGGGAGGGUCAUUGGAAACUGGGGAACUUGAGUGCAGAAGAGGAUAGUGGAAUUCCAAGUGUAGCGGUGAAAUGCGUAGAGAUUUGGAGGAACACCAGUGGCGAAGGCGACUGUCUGGUCUGUAACUGACACUGAGGCGCGAAAGCGUGGGGAGCAAACAGGAUUAGAUACCCUGGUAGUCCACGCCGUAAACGAUGAGUGCUAAGUGUUGGGGGGUUUCCGCCCCCUCAGUGCUGCAGCUAACGCAUUAAGCACUCCGCCUGGGGAGUACGGUCGCAAGACUGAAACUCAAAGGAAUUGACGGGGGCCCGCACAAGCGGUGGAAGCAUGUGGUUUAAUUCGAAGCAACGCGAAGAACCUUAC